rnacentral:rRNA from 1 species
GAUCAUGGCUCAGGAUGAACGCUAGCUACAGGCUUAACACAUGCAAGUCGAGGGGAAACGACAUCGAAAGCUUGCUUUUGGUGGGCGUCGACCGGCGCACGGGUGAGUAACGCGUAUCCAACCUGCCCACCACUUGGGGAUAACCUUGCGAAAGUAAGACUAAUACCCAAUGAUAUCCCACGAAGACAUCUGAAAGAGAUUAAAGGUUUAUCGGUGAUGGAUGGGGAUGCGUCUGAUUAGCUUGUUGGCGGGGUAACGGCCCACCAAGGCGACGAUCAGUAGGGGUUCUGAGAGGAAGGUCCCCCACAUUGGAACUGAGACACGGUCCAAACUCCUACGGGAGGCAGCAGUGAGGAAUAUUGGUCAAUGGGCGAGAGCCUGAACCAGCCAAGUAGCGUGCAGGAUGACGGCCCUAUGGGUUGUAAACUGCUUUUAUAAGGGAAUAAAGUGAGCCUCGUGAGGCUUUUUGCAUGUACCUUAUGAAUAAGGACCGGCUAAUUCCGUG